UACGUAGGGUGCAAGCGUUGUCCGGAAUUAUUGGGCGUAAAGAGCUCGUAGGUGGCGGGUCACGUCGGGUGUGAAAGCCCGGGGCUUAACCCCGGGUCUGCAUUCGAUACGGGCUUGCUAGGGUCCGGCAGGGGGAGACUGGAAUUCCUGGUGUAGCGGUGAAAUGCGCAGAUAUCAGGAGGAACACCGGUGGGCGAAGGCGG
rnacentral:rRNA from 1 species